GUGCUCCCUUUGGCAGCACAUAUACUAAGAUUGGAAGAAUACAGAGAAGAGUAGCAUGGUCCCUGCACAAGCAUGACACACACAUUCGUGAAGCGUUCCAUAUUUUU
rnacentral:snRNA from 1 species